GCUGAGAAGAAAAUAUUUGGAAAAGAAAAUAAGAGUGUUUUUUUUGUAAAUAGCACAAUUGAAUUUCACAUAUUUUUUUUAAGAAAUCAUGUGUCAAUAAAAGAACAUAGCUUUUAUAUUAAAAAUGUAGUCGAUAUGUUUUUUUUCUUUUUUAAUUGGUUUAAAACGCUAUUUUUAUAGAGUGUUCUAAAUUCUUUCAAAUAUAUUUAAAAAAAUUGAUUUUUUAACUAAAUAUCAAC
rnacentral:lncRNA from 1 species